rnacentral:lncRNA from 1 species
CUGCAGCUAUAGAACUUUGCAAUUACACCAUUGAGUUUUAUGAUUUCUCAAGCGGUCCUCGUAUCAGAUGCAAUGAACAGAGUGCUUCAGUCAAGCUCUCAAAUCUCAAUGGCGACUCUGCCCAAGUCACUGGCUUGAAAGGCUCUUUCUGUGGAGGGAAUUCUGCAACAGUCAUGGCACCUUGUGACUACUGCAUUAUCACUAUAAAUGUCUCCCCUCAAAGAAUGGUUCCAGGCUUGGUGACGGUUUUUCGUGAAGGAAUGUUGGAAAAUGAGUACUUCUUCCGUUUUUCAAGUGAAGUGCUCACUGAGUGUCCCGGUUUUAACGUCGCUAGUAAUUUUGCCAUUGGCUUCAAUCGGGAGUUUUUCCUCUUUCCAACAACAUGCAUGUACAAUUCAAGAUCAAAUUUCCUGAUGUGUCCUGGUUGCUCAGCUUCAGGGACGGUAAAUAAUUCUUUAUCAUAUCCUUCACAAAUCCAAAUUAACAUUUUUCAACUUUUUUUGGCUUAUAUUUCAACUUAGUGCUCGUAUUCCAUCAAGCUGGAUGCCCAGACAUUGUUCCUAUGUGUCACAAGUCAGAAGAUUGAGGUGUCAAUUUACAACGAUUACGAUAGAAAUGUUGGGCGGGGAUCUGGGGAGUCUGCAGCUUUUGUAGCAUCUCGCAGUGACUUUCAGCAAGGAAUCACUGUCAUUGGGCGAUGCGUGGAUUUUUGUGCAGUUGGGGUUCAGAUAUAUGAUACAAGUUGCUCAUAUCAAGUGAAUCAGGUGAAUGUUAUGGGUUCAAACAACAUCUCUCGUACUUUCCAGGUUGGUGAAACCUUAAGCCCGAACCAAGUCAUCUUCCUAAGGAACUAUGCUUCAGUAUACAGAACUCAGUGUGGUCGGCCUAAUCCAUACCCCAUCAUGAUUGGUGGAACAACUGUACUCGUUCCAAGGGCCUGUGAAACUAACUUUACUGCUACACCAACUAGAAUCACAUGUCCAUGCUAAGGAAACUUAAGCAUGGAAAUAAUAAAAAUAAUGGGGGCCAGUCCUACGAAGACAGUCAGACCUGAAUUUCAGAAUAAUGUUGAGUAUUUAGGUCCUCCUAGUGUGCCAUGUGGAGUGGACACAUCAGCUAGUUAAGAGUUGUGACCUUUCGUUAAUUGCUGAAUAUACUUAUUAUAAUGCAUCAGAGACUUCUUCCAGAAUUCCUACAUGGUAUCAGAGACUGAGUUUUGCUGAUAUUCAGAGAGCCCUAUGGAGAAAUAAGAUGGUAGUGAUCCAGAUUGAACCACCAGAUGUGGUGGAAAGAUGAAAGCAUUUAGAUGAUGCUUUCAGCAUGAGGAACAACUCAGAUUUUGGCCUAGUGAGUGAUUUGAGUUAACAGAGGAUCUAGGCAAUGGAGGAUUCCCUUUUCUGGUAGAUUGUUUGCAUCCCAUGUGCUAGAAGCCAAGAACGAGAUGGUGCUGAGAUUGCAAUUGGUGGCAGGGGAGAAAUGCCAGGGCACAGAGUGCUCAGACUGGUCACAUGGGGGAAUGUCAGCCAAAGGAACAGUGACAUCCAAUUGGGUAGGAACCCAUCAGGCACAUAUAUGCAAAAUACAUAUUGGAUAACUAUACUUUUUUUAUCAUAUCAAUUUGGGAUCUUGGAACAUUUUUUGUGGUGGCCAAGUGUGGGCUAUAAAAUCCAUUGGGAGGAAUCCAAAUAACAAAGUUAGGCAAGGAACACUAAUGUGUUAAAUGCUAAACCAACUUUAUUUUCUUUUGCAGGUGAGGAAGGUAGAAAACUUUUUAUUUGUGGCAUUGCCACAUGCAAGGAUUGUGAUGCAGGUCUUAUGGGAAGUUUGUGGAGAUAAACCUAGUUGACUUUGUUAUUUAAAAUCUAAGUUGGUUAUUCACUCCAAGAUUCAAAGAAAAUGAAGUGUAAUAGGCUUGAAUUUGAUAAUAGGAGUUGGGUAUAAUGCUUUAGUAAGCUUGACUUUUACUGAUUGAUGGAUGAUAACAAAAUGUAUUAAAAUGAAUUUGAUCAGUUACGAGAAUAUUCUGCCAGCUGCAUGCCUGCUCCCUCUCUAUUAAAUAGGGGCAAACUAUUUUGGUAAAUUACAAUAAUUCAAAAAUGGAGAUAUUACUUUUCUUCUGUUCAUGAUUUGCUCUUCUCUCAUACUAUUUCUAUCUGCAGCUGUAAAACUUUGCAAUUACACCAUUGAGUUUUAUGAUUUCUCAAGCGGUUUUCGUAUCAACUACAAUGAACAGAGUGCUUCAGUCAAGCUCUCAAAUCUCAAUGGCAACUCUGCCCAAGUCACUAGCUUGAAAGGCUAUUUCUGUGGAGGGAAUUUUGCAACAGUCAUGGCACCUUGUGACUACUGCAUUGCCACUAUAAAUGUCUCCCCUCAAAGAAUGGUUCCAGGCUUGGUGACGGUUUCUCAUGAAGGAAUGUUGGAAAAGGAGUACUUCUUCCGUUUUUCAAGUGAAGUGCUCACUGAUUGUCCCUGUUUCGACGUCGCUAGUGAUUUUGCCAUUGGCUUCAAUCAGCAAUUUUUCCUCUUUCCAACAACAUACAUGUACAAUUCAAGAUCAAAUUUCCUGAUGUGUCCUGGUUGCUUAGCUUCGGGGACAGUAAAUAAUUCUUUAUCAUAUCCUUCACAAAUCCAAAUUAAUAUUUUUCAACUUUUUUUGGCUUAUAUUUCAACUUAGUGCUCGUAUUCCAUCAAGCUGGAUGCCCAGACAUUGUUCCUAUGUGUCACAAGUCAGAAGAUUGAGGUGUCAAUCUACAACAAUUACGAUAGAAAUGUUAGGCGGGGAUCUGGGGAGUCUGCAGCUUUUGUAGCAUCUCGCAGUGACUUUGAGCAAGGAAUCACUGUCAUUGGGCGAUGCGUGGAUUUUUGUGCAGUCGGGGUUCAGAUAUAUGAUACAAGUUGCUCAUAUCAAGUGAAUCAAGUGAAUGUUAUGGGUUCAAACAACAUCUCUCGUACUUUCCAGGUUGGUGCAACCUUAAGCCCAAACCAAGGCAUCAUCCAGAGGAGCUAUGCUUCAGUAUACAGAACUCAGUGCGGUCAGCCUAAUCCGUACCCCAUCAUAAUUGGUGGAACAACUGUACUUGUUCCAAGGGCCUGUGAAACUAACUUUACUGCUACACCAACUAGAAUCACAUGUCCAUGAUAAGGAAACUUAAGCAUGGAAAUAAUAAAAAUAAUGGGUGGCCAGUCCUAUGAAGAUGGUCAGACCUGAAUUUCAGAAUAAUGUUGAGUAUUUAGGUCCUCCUAGUGUGCCAUGUGGAGUGGACACAUCAGCUAGUUAAGAGUUGUGACCUUUCGUUAAUUGCUGAAUAUACUUAUUAUAAUGCAUCAGAGACUUCUUCCAGAAUUCCUACAUGGU